GAGCCAGUGCAAUCUACAACGGCAGAGAGCGAGAGCCGGUCACCAGCGGUCCCAGCACAGCCCAGUAUGCACCGGUGCCGUGAAUCCGGUUAAAUCUGGCCUUCCAUAACAAGCUUCCCAGGAGGCCCCGGAGUGUCAGCAUGGGCGCAUUCACGGCCUUCCCUGAUACAGACGCCCACUGCUCUCCCCCUGGAAAUGCCACGAGAGACCCAGCUCCCCGGGGAAUGAGAGAGCGGAGAACCCCACAGCCGUCCCCUGUGUCAGGAGAGAGGCGUUGACGGGGACGUGUCCUGGCCAGCUGUCGCUCCAGCAGUGGAUCGACACAGAGGUCCUGUCACCGGGGGAGACUGCAGAGGGCCUCCUCAAAGCGUCUGGCCCGGUCCCGCAGAGACUGGCUCUGGAAGGUCAGCAUGUGUACCUGGUCCUGCAAGGCAUGACAAGAAGGCCAGCUUGGUCCGCCGCAGGCACUGCGGCCCGGGGAAGCCGUGAGGCAACGGCCACCCUGCCGGG